ACCUCCUUAGGGAGAAAGAGGGCCUCUCUUGAUGCUCUCGCUAUUAGAUGAGCUGCGUAAGAUUAGCUUGUUGGUGAGGUAAUGGCUCACCAAGGCUACGAUCUUUAGCUGGUCUGAGAGGACGAUCAGCCACAUUGGGACUGAGACACGGCCCAGACUCCUACGGGAGGCAGCAGUGGGGAAUAUUGGACAAUGGGCGCAAGCCUGAUCCAGCCAUACCGCGUGUGUGAAGAAGGCCUUCGGGUUGUAAAGCACUUUAAGCAGGGAGAAAAAGCUAUAAGUUAAUACCUUAUAGCCGUGAUGUUACCUGCAGAAUAAGCACCGGCUAAUUCCGUGCCAGCAGCCGCGGUAAUACGGAAGGUGCAAGCGUUAAUCGGAAUUACUGGGCGUAAAGCGCGCGUAGGUGGUUUGUUAAGUUGGAUGUGAAAGCCCUGGGCUCAACCUAGGAACUGCAUCCAAAACUAACUCACUAGAGUACGAUAGAGGGAGGUAGAAUUCAUAGUGUAGCGGUGGAAUGCGUAGAUAUUAUGAAGAAUACCAGUGGCGAAGGCGGCCUCCUGGAUCUGUACUGACACUGAGGUGCGAAAGCGUGGGUAGCGAACAGGAUUAGAUACCCUGGUAGUCCACGCCGUAAACGAUGACAACUAGCUGUUGGGAGACAAUGUUUCUCAGUGGCGCAGCUAACGUUUUAAGUUGUCCGCCUGGGGAGUACGGCCGCAAGGCUAAAACUCAAAUGAAUUGACGGGGACCCGCACAAGCGGUGGAGCAUGUGGUUUAAUUCGAUGCAACGCGAAAAACCUUACCUACUCUUGACAUACUUGGAAGCUCUUGUAAUGAGAGUGUGCCUUUUGGAGCCAAGAUACAGGUGCUGCAUGGCUGUCGUCAGCUCGUGUCGUGAGAUGUUCCGUUAAGUCGGAUAACGAGCGCAACCC
rnacentral:rRNA from 1 species